GCGACAUUAGCUCAGUUGACUCUUUGUUUAGAGCAAAAGGGCGACACCUUGCCAAGGUAUAGGUCAUCGGUAUUUUGUUUCGAAUCCGAUAUGUUGUU
rnacentral:tRNA from 1 species